UACGGAGGGGCGAGCGUUAUUCGGAAUUAUUGGGCGUAAAGGGCGCGUAGGCGGCUUGAUAAGUCAAAGGUGAAAUCCCUCGGCUCAACUGAGGAACUGCCUUUGAAACUGUCUGGCUUGAGGCCGGGAGGGGGUAGCGGAAUUCCCAGUGUAGCGGUGAAAUGCGUAGAUAUUGGGAGGAACACCGGUGGCGAAGGCGGCUCGCUGGGCCAAUACUGACGCUGAGACACGAAAGCGUGGGGAGCAAACGGG
rnacentral:rRNA from 1 species